GGCCAUUAUUGAAACAAUCAACUGUGUUCCACAACUCGCCUCUUCUAGUUCCUUUCACUAAGCCUCCUCCCACCCCAGCAACCUGGCUCCUUUGACCUUCAUGACCACUAGAGGAUCAUCUCCCUCAAUAAGUCUUUCCGGCCAGGUGCGGUGGCUCACUUCUGAAGCAGGCUGUCCUUACAUGCUGGACACUAACAGCUGAAGACUAUGACUGUGAUUACUCAGUCGGGUCACAGGCUCACUCCUGGAAUCAGAGAGCAGGGCCAGUCCCUCGGAACCACAGGAUCUGAGAAUGGAGCAGGUUUGUCACCCAAAGGAGAAAAGGAAAAGAAGGGCUGUGGAGCUGGCCUGACAUCAGGUGUACUUCUAGACAGGUGACUAAGUUACAGCCCUCAAACAGAGAGGGCCUCCUGAGGGAAAUGUCCUGAGGGAAGGGGAAAUCGGCCUUGGGAAUGAGCAGAAGUGCUAAGAUCAAAUCUCUCUCCAAGGCUACUUCUUGGUUGUGUAAGCUCUGCAAGACUUUGUCCCUGACUUUCUCCUGUGAAAUCAAGUCUUUGCCAGUUGUCCUGAGGGUUAACUGAAAUAGCAUAUACAGGGGCUCGUGAAGUCACCCUGUUCUCUUCCCAUUAAAUCAAACAGUAAAGUCCCAGGGCUGGUCUACCUUGCUAGAAAAAAGAAGCUGACUCCACCUAGUGGCUAAUGGGGUCAUUGCACUGAAGAGUUGAACAUUUACAGAACUGCGUUCUGAUAUUCCUAGACAGAUGAAGCAGCAUAUAUGAACAGUAAGCUUGGGAGAGACAGGCCGGGGACGGGUCUGCCCUGUCUCUGUAACAGGGCUUUGCACAGGGCAGAGAGGUGAGGUUAGGUGGAUGGAUGGUCAGAGGGAGAAAGUGUUCUUCCUAUUGUAUUUUACACUAGUGACUGCUCAUCAGAGCAUCUGGUUUGGGGGUGGGGACAGCUCAUCUGGCAGGGACUGCUGUGAGGGAAGGAAGGGCUUUCUUCUUCUUCUUCUUUUUUUUUUUUUGAGACAGAGUCUCGCUCUGUCGCCCAGGCUGGAGUGCAGUGGCACGAUCUCAGCUCACUGCAAGCUCCGCCUCCCGGGUUCAUGCCAUUCUCCUGCCUCAGCCUCCCGGUAGCUGGGACUACAGGCACCCGCCACUACGACCAGCUAAUUUUUUGUAUUUUUAGUAGAGAUGGGGUUUCACCGUGUUAGCCAGGAUGGUCUCGAUCUCCUAACCUUGUGAUCCGCCCACCUCAGCCUCCCAAAGUGCUGGGAUUACAGGCGUGAGCCACCGCGCCUGGCGCCUGGCCCCUUUUUUCUUUCUUUCUUUUUUUUUUUUUUAAGAGGCUCCCAUUAUGUUGCCCAGGCUGGAUUUGAACUCCUGGGCUCAAGCGAUCCUCCUGCCUCAGCCUCCCGAGCAGAUGGGAUUGCAGGCACGUGCACCACACCUGGCUUAGGGCUCUGGGAGGAAACUCUACCUGUUCAUUGCUACUUCUUCAGGAUUUGAGCUGGGAACUGUGAUUUCUUCUAACUUCCACUUCACAAGGCCUCAGGUCACAUAUAGCUGGUGGCAGUGCUCAGACCAACACUUAGGGCUCCUGAAUCCCAGGCCCUUGUCCCUCAUGCCACCCCUCAUUGGCUGCUAUACAGGUACAUGUCUAGAUCUGUGUCUGCACUGGUGGGUUGUUAUAUUCAAACAGCUGCUUUGCAUCUAGCUCUGGGCUAAGAGUAUGCUUCCACUUCCUCUUGGUUCCAUUUCAUGCAUGAUUCCAUUUCUUCCCCUCAGGUGUGACACCUCAGUAGUGUCACUGGCCAAAGAGCCUUGGGCCUGGGAUAAGCAGGGGCUCCCCAGUAGUGGAGGGUGACUUUUCGCUGGGCCCCAGUAAAGAAUCACUUCUAGCCACUAUGCUACUUUUCCCCCCGCCUCAGUCAGACCGGAUUACUGAAUCUUAUUACAUGGGGCUAUGCCAGAUGCCAUCUGCUUGUGGCCUUACCCCCGCUCCAGGGGGACUCAGGGCUUACUUCAGGUCAACAAUAGAAAGAGCAGCAGCUAUCAUUUAUAUAGCAUUUAUCAUGUGUAAGGCACUAUUAUUUCAUAUCCACCUAUUCUUUUAAUUCUCAUGAUCACCCUGUGAGGUAGGUACUAAUGUUCCACCCCGAGGCAGCUUUGCGAUGGCAGAGCUGGGAUCUGAACCUUAGCUGCUUGCUUCCCAGAACCUGAGUUUUCGCCACUACGCUAGACUGCCUCUCCAGAGCUGAUGCCUCUCUGAGACCCUCCCUAGGCACUGGAGCCAUGAGCAGGGGCUCCCUCAUAUGCUUGCCUGCUGUAUUGUGGGUCCUGGGUAUUGAUUUCUGAGGCCAUUCGAGGCUACAAAAUUCAAACCUGUCUUGAGCAUGCUAAAAGUAAGAAGGGCCCUGAUUUCAAGUCAGGAACUAUGGAUUCAAAUUCCUGGGUACCACCAGAAUGGCCAAUAUUAAAAAAACUGACAACACCAAGUGCUAACCAAGACGUGGAGCUGCUGGAGCUCCCACACACUGCUGGUGAGGAUGUAAGUCAAUAGAGCCACUUUGGAAAACUGUUUGGCAGUGUCUAGACAAGCUAAACAUAUGCCUACUCUAUGAUUCCACGCCUGAGUAGAUGAGUGAACAUGUGUACCAAGCAGCAUGUAAAAAAUCCUUCACAGCAGUUUUAUUUAUGAUACCCCCAAACUAGAAACAACCCAGUUGUCCCUCAACAGGAUGGCUGGGCCAGGCUUGGUGGCUCACGCUUGUAAUCCCAGCACUUUGGGAGGCUAAGGUGGGUGGAUCGCUUGAGCCCAGGAGUUUGAGACCAGCCUGGGCAACAGGGUGAGACGCCAUCCCUACAAAAAAUACGAAAAACUAGCUGGCAUGGUGGCAUGUGCCUGUAGUCCCAGCUACUUGGGAGGCUGAGGCGGGAGGAUCACUUGAGCCCAGGAGUUCGAGACCAGCCUGGGCAACAGAGACUCCAUCUCUACAAAAAAUAGAAAAAAUUAGCUGGUGUGGUGGCAUGUGCCUGUAGUCUCAGCUACUUGGGAGGCUGAGGUGGGAGGAUCACUUGAGCCCAGGAGGUCGAGGCUGCAGUGAGUCUUGAUGGCACCACUGCAUUCCAGCCUGGGGGCCAGAGUGAGAACAUCUCAAAAACAAAAACAAAAAAGUAGGAUGGCUAAAUUGUGCUAUAUUCAAAUAAAGGACCACUACACAGCACGAAAAAACUCAACUUGUUUUUUUUUUUUUGAGACAGAGUCUUACUACGUCACCUAGGCUGGAGUGCAGUGGCGCGAUCUCAGCUCACUUGCAACCUCCGCCUCCCAGGUUCAAGCGAUUCUCCUGCCUCAGCGAGCAGCUGAGAUUACAGGCAUCCACCACCACGACCAGCUAAUUUUUGUAUUUUUAGUAGAGACAGGGUUUCACCAUGUUGGCUAGGCUGGUCUGGAACUCCUGACCUCAAGUGAUGCGCCCGCCUCGGCCUCCCAAAGAGCUGGGAUUACAGGCAUGAGCCACUGCGCCUGGCUGAAAAAAAAAAACUGAACUUCUGAGACAUACAGUAACAUGGGUGAAUUCCACAAACUAAUAUUGUGCAAAAUGUAUGAUUCCAUUUUUAUAAAACUCAAGAGCAAGCAAAACUAAUCUAUAAUGAUCGAGGUCAAAAUAGUGGUUGCUUCUGGGGGAUACUGACUAGGAGGGGAAAUGAGGGAAUGUUUUAGGGACCUGGCAAUGUUCUGUAUCUUGAUCUGGAGGGUGACUGCCCCAAUGUAUACAUGUAAGUGAGGAUUCAUCAAACUGAAGUCUAAAAUUGGUGCACAUUACUGAAUGUAUGGUGUACCUCAAAAAGUUAGAGAAAAAAAGGAAACAGUUAAACAAUUUCUGGGUAUAGUGCACAGUUGUUUUUGUCCCCCUCCCCCUGCAUCCAUUCCCCCUUAAUCUGGAAAGAGCCCUACAACCUUCUUCUUUUGGGGUUGUAUCACUCCCUCUCUCAAUGUUUUAGGUGGAGCUGACUCAGCUUUAGGCACAUGACCCAGGCCCCAAAUCAGAGUGCCUUUUCCCCUAGCCACAAUGAUUAAUUCAGGGAUGAGAACAGGACUAAACCAGUUGAGGCAAUCCCAGAUAUUUUGUUGGAACUAGUGGAGAAAGGUGUUCUUUCCACUGUUGUUACUAACGUAUCAGGAUAGAAGCCUGGGGCUGCCAGUGGCCACCUUGGCACCUCUUGGAGAGAGCUUGCCUGAGAAAGGGCACACAGAGGAAAGCAGAGGGAUAGACAAUUCUUCCUGAUGAGACCAUCUCCGAGUCUGGGUCCAGCUAUCAUUGUAUGUGGAUUUUUCAUUAAGUGAAUCAAUACAUUUACCUUUUUAGCUAAUCGCUUUGAUUUGGGUUUCUAACACUUUAAUAAUUAGAGUCUACUACACUGGGAUCAUGGGAAUGGACAAAAUUAUGAGAAAAAUGGAGGGACUUGGAAUAUAAACAUUGAGCCUUGUCUCAUCUGUUUUGUGGGUGCUGCCCCUGCCCUGAGUGGCUGCUCACCCUGUGAGACCAUGGCACUGACAGGAGAUGGGUGAGGCAGGCUGCAGGGGCCAUGUGGGAGGUACUCUGGUCCUCACUCAUAAAGGGUUCCAGAGGAAGUCUAGAGAACUGGAUUCUACUCUCCAUUUUGUCAUUUCUUAGAGGCAAGACCUUGGGCAAAUCAUGAUACCUUUUUCAGCCUUGUUCCUUCUCUCCAUGGUUUUUAUUUAUUUUAUUUUUUAUUUUUUGUAGAGAUGGGAUUUCACCACGUUGGCCAGGAUGGUCUUAAACUCCCGGCCGCAAGUGAUACACCCGCCUUGGCCUCCCAAAGUGCUGGGAUUACAGAUGUGAGCCACCCUGCCUGGCCUCCUUCUCUAUAUGGAAUAUUAACUCUUAGCUCAAAGGUUGUUAUGCAGAUGAAAUGCUAGCUUUCCAACCUCUCCAGCUUUUUCAUGCCCUUGGCUGAGUCAGCUCCUGCAUCCUGGGCAUUCUUAUCAUUGUCAUCAUGAUCUUUGACUGUGUGUGAACCCCUAAGGGCAAGAAAGUGUUCAUCUCUAGGUCCCUUUACCAACAGGGCUGGCCACACAGCUGGUAGGGACUACAAAGUGGUCUUGCAGGCCGGAGGCUCACGGUAUGAUAGCCCACUCACCCCCUGCCCUUCAUUUCCUUGCUUGGUAGAUGGGGCUGAAUCUGACAUACUAGGUGGCUUAGAAGGACUCUGGGGAAUUGCUGAGGCAGUCUGAUCAUGGGAAGCUGAGAACCUCCCUUGGGGCUGUGUAGAGCCUUUCACAGCUGACCAGGAGCAGGGGCUGAGUGGCACUGAAUGGGAGCUGAGGCUGCCUGGGCCCCUUCCUCAAAUCUGGCUGUCUACAGUAAAGGAUGGACAAAGAGCUCUUGAGGCCAUAACAUUCCUUUCUUUUUUUAAAUUUUAAAAAUUAUUAUUUUUAGAGACAGGGUCUUGCUCUGUUGUCCAGGCUGGAGUACAGUGGCAUAAUCAUAGCUCACUGCUGCCUUGAACUCAUGGUUAAAGCGAUCCUCCUGCCUCACCCUUCCAGGUAGCCAGGACUACAGGAAUGCACCACCACACCUGGCUACCUUCUUUUAAAAUUUAUUAUUUAUUUAUUUUGAGACAGGAGUCUCACUCUGUCACCUAGGCUGGAGUGCAGUGGCACGAUCUUGGCUCAAUGCGACCCUCCGCCUCCCGGGUUCAAGCAAUUCUCUUGCCUCAGCCUCCCAAGUAGCUGGGACUACAGAUGUGUGCCACCAGGCGCAGCUGAUUUUCGUAUUUUUUAUAGGGACGGGGUUUUGCCAUCAUGUUGGCCAGGCUGGUCUCGAACUUCUGACCUCAGGUUAUCCACCUGCCUUGGCCUCUCAAAGUGCUUGGAUUACAGGCGUGAGCCACGGCGCCCAGCCUUCAAAUUUAUUUUUAUAAUUUUUUUUUUUUUUUAGAUAGAGUCUUGUUAUGUUGCCCUGGCUGGAGUGCAGUGGUUAUUCACAGGCAUGAUCACAGCAUACUUCAGGCUGGAACUCCUGGGCUUGAAUGGUCUUUCUGCCUUAGCCUCCUGAGCAGCUGGGACUAUAGGUGCAUGACGCCGCACCUGGCCAUAACACUCCUUCUCAGCUCAUUUUUGAGUCAUGAAAAAUGCUCUUUCAAGAAUCACCAGGCCUAUGAUAAGUCCCAUGGAACAAACCUAUCACUGUGUAAGAGCUGAGCAGGAGAAAACCAUCUCUCCUCAUACACCUCAUUUGUUCAUUCAAUAAAAAUUCAUGACACACCACUAUGGACAUCAGGAAGUAGAGAUGAAUAAGGCUGGGUCUCUGCCCUAAGUGAUUAGCCUGGAAAGCCAUACUGGACACAGUGUCCAUACUGGCCUCCUUGUCUCCUUUCCUGCCCCUCCCUGCACUCCUUUACAUAACAGCCAGAACAGUUCUCUCAAACAUAAAGCAGAUCCCCAGCUUAAACCCUUUAAAGACCUUCAUGAGGCCCUAUGUGACAGGAGAAGCAGGAGAAGGUGGUGGAUGAGAAGAUGAGGCUGUACUGAGUUCAGGGCACCUGAACUCAAGGGAGACUUUCACAGGGUGCUCGACUCUGUCCCAACUCCUAAAGUGACUACUGGGGACUACUGAGGUCUGAAUGGGGUGGGGGUGAGGGGUCAAGACAGACAUACUAGAUCCAAUGGCAAUAUGGCUCAAAACCCUAGGUCUGUUAAGUUGUAGUCUGGCCCAUGAGGGAAAUUCUUUAUUUGGAUGCUUCAGUGACCAAGAGACAGAGCAUUAG
rnacentral:lncRNA from 1 species